GCGGGCUUAGUUUAGUGGUAAAACCUCAGCCUUCCAAGCUGAUGAUGCGGGUUCGAUUCCCGCAGCCCGCU
rnacentral:tRNA from 13 species